rnacentral:rRNA from 1 species
CCUACGGGAGGCAGCAGUGGGGAAUUUUGCGCAAUGGGGGCAACCCUGACGCAGCAACGCCGCGUGAGUGAUGAAGGCCUUCGGGUCGUAAAGCUCUGUCAGAGGGGAAGAAAUGCAGGUGGUGAACAACCAUUCUGUUUGACGGUACCCUCAAAGGAAGCACCGGCUAACUCCGUGCCAGCAGCCGCGGUAAUACGGAGGGUGCGAGCGUUGUUCGGAAUUAUUGGGCGUAAAGCGCGUGUAGGCGGUUUGUUAAGUCUGAGGUGAAAGCCCCGGGCUAAACCGGGAAAGUGCAUUGGAGACUGGCAGGCUGGAGUACGGGAGAGGAGAGUGGAAUGCCCAGUGUAGGGGUGAAAUCCGUAGAUAUGGAGAGGAACACCGGGGGCGAGGGCGGCUCUCGGGAC